GACGAACGCUGGCGGCGUGCUUAACACAUGCAAGUCGAACGGAAAGGCCCUGCUUUUGUGGGGUGCUCGAGUGGCGAACGGGUGAGUAACACGUGAGUAACCUGCCCUUGACUUUGGGAUAACUUCAGGAAACUGGGGCUAAUACCGGAUAGGAGCUCCUGCUGCAUGGUGGGGGUUGGAAAGUUUCGGCGGUUGGGGAUGGACUCGCGGCUUAUCAGCUUGUUGGUGGGGUAGUGGCUUACCAAGGCUUUGACGGGUAGCCGGCCUGAGAGGGUGACCGGCCACAUUGGGACUGAGAUACGGCCCAGACUCGUACGGGAGGCAGCAGUGGGGAAUAUUGCACAAUGGGCGGAAGCCUGAUGCAGCAACGCCGCGUGCGGGAUGACGUCCUUCGGGUUGUAAACCGCUUUCGCCUGUGACGAAGCGUGAGUGACGGUAAUGGGUAAAGAAGCACCGGCUAACUACGUG
rnacentral:rRNA from 1 species